ACCGCUGAGUUUAAGCAUAUCAAUAAGCGGAGGAAAAGAAACUUACUAGGAUUCCUUAGUAAGAGCGGCGAGCGAACCGGGAACAGCCGGCAGCUUGAAAAUCGGUGACGGCUUCGUCGUCGAAUUGUAGUCUGGAGAAGCGUCCUCAGCGGCGGACCGGGCCCUCACAGUCCGCCUGGAAGGGGCGGCCGGAAGGGUGAGAGCCCCGUACGUGCCCCGGACCCUGUCGCACCACGAGGCGCUGUCUGCGAGUCGGGUUGGUUUGGGAAUGCAGCCCCAAAGGGCGGUAUUCCGUCCAAGGCUUAAAUACUGGCGUGAGACCGAUAGCAAACGAAGUACCGGUUAUAGCUCAGUGGUGGUGUUGGUGGAGCGAAGGGAAAGAUGAAAAAGGUGUCUUUGAAAAAGAGUGUGUCAAAGAGUGCUUGAAAUUGUCGGGAGGGAAGAGCGAAUGGGGGGCCGGCGAUGCGUCCCGGUCGGAUGUGGAAACGGUGUAAAGUCGGUCCGUCCGAUCGGCUUCGGGACGUGGACCGGUGCGGAUUGGUACGGCGGCCAAAGCCCAGGCUGUUGAUAUGCCUGUGGAGAUGCCGUUGUGCCGAUCGUGGUUGGCAGCGCGCGCCGUCAACGGCGUGGCUUCGGCACCUCGUGCGUGCUCUGGCACCCGGCCUGCGGGCACCUUGCGGCCGUCUUGAAACACGG
rnacentral:ncRNA from 1 species